GACGUAGGAGGCGAGCGUUGUCCGGAUUCAUUGGGCGUAAAGAGCGCGCAGGCGGCUUGGUAAGUCGGAUGUGAAAUCCCGAGGCUCGACCUCGGGUCUGCAUCCGAUACUGCCCGGCUAGAGGUAGGUAGGGGAGAUCGGAAUUCCUGGUGUAGCGGUGAAAUGCGCAGAUAUCAGGAGGAACACCGGUGGCGAAGGCGGUGGUCUGGGCCGGCACUGACGCUGAGGAGCGAAAGCGUGGGGAGCGAACAGGA
rnacentral:rRNA from 1 species